rnacentral:rRNA from 1 species
CUAUCCUACGGGGGGCAGCAGUAGGGAAUUUUCGUCAAUGGGCGCAAGCCUGAACGAGCAAUGCCGCGUGAACGAGGAAGGUCUUCGGAUCGUAAAGUUCUGUUGAAGGGGAAAAAGAGCGGAGAGAGGAAAUGCUUUCUGAUUGAUAUUACCCUUCGAGGAAGUCACGGCUAACUACGUGCCAGCAGCCGCGGUAAUACGUAGGUGGCAAGCGUUGUCCGGAUUUAUUGGGCGUAAAGCGAGUGCAGGCGGUUCAAUAAGUCU